CCGGUCGCAAGCCGCGCGCCGUUUCCGACAAGUUUUUCUCUCUCGCGCAGUAUCAUUUACUUUAUCUUUAGGCGGCGCGGAAAUCGUGAAGCUUUUACUAAAUCCAAAUUUCUAGAUAUUCCUCUCAACAUUCAUAGUUAGUUUGCGUAAUCGGCUAAAUUGCAGAAUACCCGUCUAUAAUGAGUGUCCCUAUACGUCGUGUGUCGUGGGUUAAAAGUCGUGUGUCGUGGGUAAAGUCGUGGGUUAGGGUUAGGGUUAGGGUUAGGGUUAGGGUUAGGGUUAGGGUUAGGUUAGGGUUAGGGUUAGGGUUAGGGUUAGGGUUAGUUUUA